CUUUUUUUUCCCUGUUGUUGAAUUUCCCUUUUGUACUUUCUCCAGCUUACUGGGGAUCUGGACAAGAUGAUUGCUUUGCAAAGAUUGCUAGAACCUUACGGCAUUUGUGAGGUACGAGUAUGAUAUUUGAUCUUUGGUUAUGAAUGAAAACUGGUUAUGAUCCUUGUUUUAGUAGGUUUUUGUACUUGCACUGCAUUAUACUGACCUGUUGCAUGGCAUUUAAAUGGUCUUUGGUCCUAAAAAUCAACAACUUCAUUAUUUGCCUGUGAUAUUGAUAAGAAAUUCCCAUCUCUGUUAAGAUUUUCCUUUAGUUAGAAUAACGUCUAUGUUCAAGGACCAAUUUUCUUUUCAAUCUUCUUUCCCUAAUUUGUUAUUUUCAUUUUGAAUUUUCGGGUUUAGGAUGAUGUCUAGUUGAAAUGUUUUGUUUCUGACUUUACUUUGAGAUACAUUUGUAGUUAGAGCAUUUUGUUGUUUUUGCUUUACCUCUUUCUUGUUAUAACUUCAUUUCUUUUCCAAUUUAAUAAAAAAUGUUGACGGGUGUAAUUUUACUGCAACGCUAACAAGUUUCUCCGUUUAACCUUGCCGAAAUGAACUUUAUUCGCAGCAACUUAAACGAUUUCUCUUUGUGCAGGUGGCUCGAACUGGAAGAGUGGCACUGGUGCGAGAGUCAGGUGUUGAUUCAAGGUACCUCCGUGGGUAUUCUUACCCAUUGUAAUCAUGGAUUUCUCGAGUUCACAGCAUGAGGGAUGUUCGUUUUCUUUCUACAAGCUAGAUGCAUAUUUCGUGUUUGCCUCUGUUUGAAAAAACAAGCUAAACGCAUAGUUUUGUGUGCCUUUGUUUGAUGUUGGGAAACUACUCUACGUGGAUGUUGCUAGAAGUCACGUCGUUUGGAUAUAAGAUAUUUUGUCCAAUUUUGUUGUCUAUCCAAUAAAUUAUUGAUGUCAUCAAUUUGAUUGGUUAGUGGUGAAGUCAACUUGUAUGGCGUUCUUUGAAAAUUACAAUCCAAAAAGGUAGAGAACAUGUUUAUUGAACUGGAUCGGACACUAAAGUGCACAGGAUUUUGAUUUCUUUUUCACCUCCAAUAAUAUUUAUUAGUGUCCGAUCCACCUUAGUAUAACAAUAAUUCUAGACUAAAGCAUUGUAAAUUGUAUCGGCUGACGUUCGCCCACACAAAACUAUUUGCACAUACGUUUAUAUCUGUCGUCGAUCCCGAGGAAAAGUAGGGAAAGCAAUUACCAUCGGUUUUUGCCUAGUUAGGCAGGUCAGGCACAAGACGAUCACCAGUCUGUCACUACGAAUUGUUUCAAAUUUCCUUUGGUACGAUGCCAUUUCUUC
rnacentral:lncRNA from 1 species